rnacentral:lncRNA from 1 species
UUUAAUUUCGACUCUGGUUUUCUCAAGAAAAACAAUCACUCCCGUUUGUAAUUAUUAUAAUUACAUGUACAAUACAGAGGCGUCCGCAGGGGAGGGUUAGAAGGGCUGUAAUCCCCCACUACAAAUUAAGCAAGGAUACAUAGUUAGAUUCCACCACAACCCUAAUGCCAGUGGCAAGUGGAUAAUCGUCAACAGCUAAAAAUGAUCUGCAUGACGCACAUUUGACUUUCUACUUGAGAGAAUAUAUCCCACAACAAAAACAAUGCAUUGUUUUCUACUAUAAUGGGCAUUGUCUCAACAUCUGAAGGCUGCCAAUCUGUAAAAAUGGUAUCCCAUAUUGUUACGUCAAGAUCUGCCAACACAUCUUUGACCUAAUUUGUCGAACACUAAUAUAAUAGAUUGCUCCCUUAAGCUGUCUAUACCAGCCAAACCUUUCCUCGACCUUAUCAGACUGGAACAUUGUAAGCAUGAUGUAUACGAAGUUAUCCUCUUCUUUGAUCACUAAGUACUCGGCAAGAUCUACUACAGCUA